rnacentral:lncRNA from 1 species
UCAGGGACGGAUCCAAACAUAAAAAAUUGGUGUGGCUAAAAUUAAACAUCUCUAAUAUAAUUUUGAAGUUGAUGUCGCACCACCAUUUUUGGCUCAUCUACAAAAUCACUUGGAUAAAUUAAGCUCAACUAUUCUCAAUAAUAUUUCACAUCUAAAGAUCCAAAUGACAAUGAGGGACUCAAAUUUGGUGAGUGGUGGCUAUGGGGAGGGUGGGCAAUGUUAAGAAAUACGAUGAUAAUUUUUCACAUCUAAAGCUCCAAAUGACAAUGAUUUAUUUAUGAGUAAUAUUGGUAGGCGUGUUAAGGGACGAUUUGUAACGUUAAUUAGUUAA